ACCCUUCUGGAGGAGAACACGAAUCUUUGGGAACUAGUUCAGGAAGGGAUUCUGCAUCUUCAGAGCUGCUUCUCUUCCUCUUCCCUGUUCUGACUUCAGGUAAGCUAGAUGCUUCAACUCUGUCCCGUUUUUUCUUUUUCUUUGAGCACUGCUUUUGGGGUUCAGUGGACUCAAUGUCAGAGCCCUCAGAUGUGGGUCUGGAUCUUUUCAUUUUACUGAUGCUGGUGUUGCUUGUGUCCAUGUUUUCUUCUUUGGCUUGGAUAUUGUCUUCCUUUUUCAUUCGGCCUUUCUUCUUCUUUUUCUUUUUCUUCUCUUCUGUAAAAGUGCCAUCAUUAUUAGUUCAUCUUACUUCAACUACACCUAUUUAAAUAUUGAAAAAUACUCACCCACAACUCUUAAGGCUGGAAUGGGCUUAUUUUUCACUGUUUUAGGAAAUAUGCCAGGUUUUCUUGGUGCUUCUUCUGGUGGGUUGUUAAGAAACUGAAAUGAUUGCAAAAGUUACUAUUUUAAUACUUGUUUUCUUUUCUUUCUUUUUUUUUUUUUAGGAUCUGGACUUACCUCAAUUGCUUUUGCUGCUUGUUCUUUUGUUUCAAAUUCCACAAACGCAAAUCCCUUUGGAUCUCCAGUAGACUUAUAAUGUGGUAUACUUAUAUAAACAACAUUGCCACAUUUCCCAAAUACUCUUUCAAUCCAGCUGUGAUUAACAUUUUUGGGAAGUAACUCCUAUUAUAAAUUAAAAGCAAUAUUAGAGUUUUUCACAAUCAGAAUGUCAAUAAAUUUUUAACUUAA
rnacentral:lncRNA from 1 species